rnacentral:tRNA from 1 species
GGGCGGUUAGCUCAGCGGUAGAGCACUGCCUUCACACGGCAGGGGUCAGGUGUUCGAAACACCUACCGCCCACCA